UGCGCGACAGGGGCUGGGUCUUUGCGGGCGAGGUGAGGUCUGUUCCCCUCUCUCAACUGGCCCUACAAAGUCCCAGUCCCUGGGGCGCCCGAC
ensembl:miRNA mir193a-2 microRNA 193a-2